AGUUUGAUCCUGGCUCAGGACGAACGCUGGCGGCGUGCCUAACACAUGCAAGUCGAGCGGAGACAGUGAGUAGCUUGCUAUGAGCUGUUUUAGCGGCGGACGGGUGAGUAACGCGUGAGCAACCUUUUCCCAAAAGGAGGAAUAACCACCCAAAAAAGUUCUCAAUACCCCCUAUACCCCCCCGGCAUCCCUUUGUUUUGGGGAAAAAAUUUUUUCGGGUUGGGGGGGGCCCCGCCUCCAAUUUAGUGUAGUGGUGGAGGAACCGGCCCCACAAAGCGGGAAGAUUUGUACCCCCCCUGGAGAGGGUUGUCGCCCCCCUUUGGGAAUGGACCCCCGCCCCAUAUCUCUUGGGGGGAGCCACCAGGGGGGAAUUUUUGGCCAAGGGAGGAAUCUUCGCCCCCACCACCGCCGGGUGGGAGAAAGAAGUUUUUCGGAUCGAAAACUCCCUUCCUUGGAGACGAUUAGAAGCCGGUAUCCAAGGAGGAAGCCCCGGCUAACUACGUGCCAGCAGCCGCGGUAAUACGUAGGGGGCAAGCGUUGUCCGGAAUAAUUGGGCGUAAAGGGCGCGUAGGCGGCUCGGUAAGUCUGGAGUGAAAGUCCUGCUUUUAAGGUGGGGAUUGCUUUGGAUACUGUCGGGCUUGAGUGCAGGAGAGGUUAGUGGAAUUCCCAGUGUAGCGGUGAAAUGCGUAGAGAUUGGGAGGAACACCAGUGGCGAAGGCGACUAACUGGACUGUAACUGACGCUGAGGCGCGAAAGUGUGGGGAGCAAACAGGAUUAGAUACCCUGGUAGUCCACACUGUAAACGAUGAAUGCUAGGUGUAGGGGGUAUCGACCCCUUCUGUGCCGCAGUCAACACAAUAAGCAUUCCGCCUGGGGAGUACGGCCGCAAGGUUGAAACUCAAAGGAAUUGACGGGGGCCCGCACAAGCAGCGGAGCAUGUGGUUUAAUUCGACGCAACGCGAAGAACCUUACCAGGUCUUGACAUCCACUUAAACUUACAGAGAUGUAAGGUGUGCUUGCACAAAGUGAGACAGGUGGUGCAUGGUUGUCGUCAGCUCGUGUCGUGAGAUGUUGGGUUAAGUCCCGCAACGAGCGCAACCCUUAUCUUCAGUUACUAACGCGUAGAGGUGAGGACUCUGAAGAGACUGCCGGGGACAACUCGGAGGAAGGUGGGGACGACGUCAAAUCAUCAUGCCCCUUAUGACCUGGGCUACACACGUGCUACAAUGGCCACGACAGAGAGAGGCGAAAUCGCAAGGUAGAGCGGAACUCAAAAAAGUGGUCCCAGUUCGGAUUGUGGGCUGCAACCCGCCCACAUGAAGUCGGAGUUGCUAGUAAUCGCGGAUCAGCAUGCCGCGGUGAAUACGUUCCCGGGCCUUGCACACACCGCCCGUC
rnacentral:rRNA from 1 species